rnacentral:lncRNA from 1 species
UUAGGAUUUCUCCUUACUCGAGAAGAGAACCUGAUCAAGGAAUUCGAGAGGAUGAAUUUGGAGGUAGUAAUACCACCACAAACGACAGAAAUAGUAAUUUCUGCACUGAGCAUUACACCUGACUUACGAUCGAGAGUAGUCACAGCUCAGAGAGAGGAUGAGAAGAUGGAAGGGUUGCGAAUGAAGAUUCGAACCGAAAAAAAUGGAAAAUUAUCAAGAGGCGGCAGAUAACGCCAUUUUUGUU